rnacentral:rRNA from 1 species
UACGUAGGGACCGAGCGUUGUCCGGAAUCAUUGGGCGUAAAGAGCGUGUAGGCGGCCACUUAAGUCCUGCGUGAAAUCUUGCGGCUCAACCGCAAGCGGUCGUGGGAAACUGGGUGGCUAGAGUGCGGGAGAGGAGAGUGGAAUUCCUGGUGUAGCGGUGAAAUGCGCAGAUAUCAGGAAGAAUAUCCGUGGCGAAGGCGGCUCUCUGGGACGGUACUGACGCUGAGACGCGAAAGCGUGGGGAGCGAACAGG